ensembl:antisense Gm26725 predicted gene, 26725
CAUAUCGGACUGGCCCCGAUGCGGAGGAUUUACGAACUUUGGCCGCUCAAAAAGUCACAUCCAUUUCAGACAUUCAGAAGGGACCCCAGAAGUGGCACCUGCCCCACCUGGGGACAUCUAGAAGAGUGGCUUCCGGCCGCCUAUGGCUGUUUAGAGUAAGCCACCCUGAGCCUGCACCAAGGACUAAGGACCCUGCGCCUGACUCCCGGGGUCUGCCUCAGGUCUGGAGGUGAAGACACUGUCCGUACAGAGGUUAGAACAAGUAUUGGGAGAUGAGAUAAAGCCACCCACUUGGGUCCCAAACUCUAUGGACACUGCAUGAGAUGGAGAUCGCCGUCCUGUUCCUGUUAUUGAUGAAAAGACCAUCCGGCAGAGCAGAUACAAUGUUACCAUCUGCCUCCACGCCCCACCACACCUCCGUGGUGAUGGACUGGCUGUAUCCUCAUGCUAAGAUGGCGCAUGCCAUCCCUGCGAGUCUCUGAAGAAAACCUCCCUUUGCUCGACAACAGAGAAACGCACACUCAUCAUUUCAGCGUUUCAGUCAGUGCGACUGACCCACAGCCUACGACGGCAGCCGCGGACUCGGCCCUCUGCUCUGGUUCCUUCACCAAAAAUAAAAUAAGUGACUCCAAGUGCUUGGCCGGUAGCCAAGGACCUCUCAGGUUCAAUUCUUCAUCUUCUGCUUUCGAGAGUUAAUUACAGAGAGGGGGCAUGCUAAGCAAGAGCUCUUUGUGUUCACAGUGAAAUAAUGACUUAGUCCCCCCUGAGACUACAGAGGCUCUGGACUUCAGCUCUGCACAGCAAGCACAAAUCCCAACCUGAUAGCAUGUGACUUUCUUUUUCAAAUGAAUCAGACUUUAUGAAUAGACAGCGUCUUUUCCUCCCCUCACCCUCUAGCCCGACCGUACCGAUUAGCGUAUUUUCUGCUUUUCUAGUUGAGUUGACUCACCAGACCCUUUAAGAGCCUGCUAGCUUGUGUGCUUCCUCCUGACAGGAUGCGCGGUUCCCUGUCUGCACACUUGCUGAUUGUAUAGCAUACCUUUGCCACUGUUGUUUUUUGUUAUUGUUGCUGUUGUUGUUUUGAUUCAAUAAAGUUUUAUUUUCCCAAAUGCA